UACUCUUGAGAGAUUAGUAGCUGCAAAACACUACCUGAAAACAGAUUAUAAGUUGCAUGUAAGAAGUUCAUCAUCCACUGCAGACCACUGCUGUUUAUUUGCACUGAGUGAGCAGAGUGGAGCAUUCUCAAAGGAGUGUGCUGAUCAUGAUCAUACUGACAUUUGCGGACACUGUAGUUUCUUGAAUGAGACUUUAUCUCACAUAUCCCAGGAGACAGCAGAGAAACAUUGGGAUAACCCUGAAGCGUUUUGUUUCAAAGUGGAUAAAGCUGUUUCGGAUAUUUAUGAAUGGAAGCGUCAUAUUUUACUUUCAAAAAACCAA